rnacentral:sRNA from 1 species
AUAAUUGCAAAAGCUGACACCAUUGCCAAGAAUGAACUGCACAAAUUCAAGAGUAAGAUCAUGAGUGAACUGGUCAGCAAUGGGGUCCAGAUAUAUCAGUUUCCCACUGAUGAAGAAACGGUGGCAGAGAUUAACGCAACAAUGAGUGUCCAUCUCCCAUUUGCAGUGGUUGGCAGCACCGAAGAGGUGAAGAUUGGCAACAAGAUGGCAAAGGCCAGGCAGUACCCCUGGGGUGUGGUGCAGGUUGAGAAUGAAAAUCAUUGCGAUUUUGUGAAACUUCGAGAGAUGCUGAUCCGGGUGAACAUGGAGGACUUGCGAGAGCAGACUCACACCCGCCACUAUGAAUUGUACCGACGCUGUAAGCUUGAAGAGAUGGGGUUCAAGGACACUGACCCUGACAGCAAACCCUUCAGGUAUGAAGGCAUCUAGCAAUCAGGUGUCUCCCAGACAGUGGCGAGAGUGGCAUGGUGGUACAUCACAGAAAUGCUUGCUGGAUUGAGAUGGUGAUGAUGGAAGGAUCUGGUGGGUGAAGAUUAAUACAUAUGUUGUCAGGCAUUGCGAUAAUUGCUUUAUUUGCAUUAUCUCAACUAACUUACCUAGUUGAUGUCAUUAUUAUCCACAUUUUACAGAUGAGGAAACAAAGGCACUGAAAGUGUAAACAAACUGCCCAAGGUCCUCCAAGUAGUAAACAAUGGUGUGGUGUUGAGCUCUUGCCAUCUGGGUCCUGAGCCCAGGUUUCUGCCAGUUCUCUUGCAGAGGUACAGAGCCUGGUCGAUAUAUUUACAAAGGUGCGGCUGCUGAUUACAGUUUGCCCCAUUCAUUUUUGCCAAACACCUUUAACUUCCGGAGGCUCUUCCUUUGUCAAGCACUUUUACUAUUAGCUUUCAGUGGUUCGGUAAAAUUCUAACAACAAAGAAUCAGGAGGAAAGGAGAAUAGCUUUUAGGAGAUCUAUGUAUUUUCUUAUAUCACUGACGGGUGGAGACGCAAAAUGUGAAGGGGAGAAAUGGAUGUAGAAUUAAUAUCCUAGCCGAAGCCCAGACCCCGUCAGAAUCCAGUGGUAGGGAUAGGGUUGGCAAGGCUGGGGUGCUGUUGCCCACACCGUAGUGAGUCAUGGGGUGGUUCUGGGUAAAGGUGUGGGGUGAGGCUGCCAGGCCAGGUUCACCACCUCCUGGUCGAGGAGAGGAUUGUCCAGAUGGUGCCCAAGCAGUUUUCUUUCUUUUUUUUUGUUUGAGACGGAGCCUUGCUCUGUCACCAGGCUGGAGUGCCUUGGCCUCCCAAAGUGCUGGGAUUACAGGCGUGAGCCACCGCGCCUGGCCCCCAAGCUGUUUCUUAAUGGGGAUUUGAAUUCAGGUGGUGUGAGGUGUGUCUGGGCUCUGUGCCU